CAACUUUCAACAACGGAUCUCUUGGCUCUCGCAUCGAUGAAGAACGCAGCGAAAUGCGAUAAGUAAUGUGAAUUGCAGAUUUUCAGUGAAUCAUCGAAUCUUUGAACGCACCUUGCGCUCCUUGGUAUUCCGAGGAGCAUGCCUGUUUGAGUGUCAUUA
rnacentral:rRNA from 18 species